rnacentral:rRNA from 1 species
AUUGAACGCUGGCGGAAUGCUUUACACAUGCAAGUCGAACGGCAGCACGGACUUCGGUCUGGUGGCGAGUGGCGAACGGGUGAGUAACAUAUCGGAACGUGUCCAAUAAUGGGGGAUAACUAAUCGAAAGGUUGGCUAAUACCGCAUACGCCCUACGGGGGAAAGCAGGGGAUCUUCGGACCUUGCGUUAAUGGAGCGGCUGAUGUCUGAUUAGCUAGUUGGUGAGGUAAAGGCUCACCAAGGCGACGAUCAGUAGCUGGUCUGAGAGGACGACCAGCCACACUGGAACUGAGACACGGUCCAGACUCCUACGGGAGGCAGCAGUGGGGAAUUUUGGACAAUGGGCGCAAGCCUGAUCCAGCCAUUCCGCGUGAGUGAAGAAGGCCUUCGGGUUGUAAAGCUCUUUCGCAAGGGAGGAAAACUUACUUUCUAAUAAAGAGUGAGGUUGACGGUACCUUGAUAAGAAGCACCGGCUAACUACGUGCCAGCAGCCGCCGUAA